AACGAACGCUGGCGGCAUGCCUAACACAUGCAAGUCGAACGAGACCUUCGGGUCUAGUGGCGCACGGGUGCGUAACGCGUGGGAACCUGCCCUUAGGUUCGGAAUAACUCCCCGAAAGGGGUGCUAAUACCGGAUAAUGUCUUCGGACCAAAGAUUUAUCGCCUUUGGAUGGGCCCGCGUUGGAUUAGCUAGUUGGUAGGGUAAAAGCCUACCAAGGCGACGAUCCAUAGCUGGUCUGAGAGGAUGAUCAGCCACACUGGGACUGAGACACGGCCCAGACCACAAGGGGGGCAAGAGGGGGGGAUAAUGGAAGAAGGGGAGAAGCCUGAAAACAGAAUGGCCGGGGGAGGAAGAAGGCCUUGGGGGGGGAAAAGUCUUUUUCCCGGGGAUGAAAAGAAGAGGCGGGGGGAAAGAGCCGCGGAAAAACCCGUGC
rnacentral:rRNA from 1 species